AUGGCGCUGUGGUGGUCUAGUAGCAGCAGCAACAAGGGCUUUGAGGCCCAUGGGUGCAGAGGAGAUGGUGAGGAGGUGGGUCCAGAGGCGAGCAACCAUGGUGGGGGCGAGCGAGCACCUCGUCCUCUUCUCGCACGUAGCAGAGGCGUGGCUGGAGGAGGAGGCAGCAGGGGGGCCGGGGUUGGCGCGGAGCAGGCACCGACGAGACUUGGGGCGCUGGAGAAGGGCGCCGGCGGCGAAGAAGCUCCAAGGCAGCGGCUUGGACCAAGGCGACGGGGACAGCGCAAGACAGGGAGACGCGGGAGACGUGGCCCUCGAGUUCGAGCGGCGAGACGGCGAAGGCGGCCGAGCGGGAGCCGGGCGUCUCUUGGCAGCAGGGCCGGCGCUGGUCGUGGCUGUCGGAGGGGGAUGGGCGCGGGCAUGGACGGAAGGGGCGGUGCUGUGGGAUCGGGAUCGAGCACGGGGGCUCCUGCAUGUAUGCGAGAGAGAAGGUGA
rnacentral:rRNA from 1 species